UGAGCUGCUCUGUUCCUGCAUCCCACAGGAAGCAGUUUGGGAUGAAGGACGAGGGCAGACCGCG
rnacentral:pre_miRNA from 1 species